rnacentral:sRNA from 1 species
AAACGCUAGGGGCGGGAUCUGCCCGAGUGGAAGAACCGCGGCAGGGGCCAAGCCUCCUCAACUAUGACCUCAACCGGCCAGGAUUCCACCACAACCAGGCAGCGAAGAAGUAGGCAGAACCCCCAGUCGCCCCCUCAGGACUCCAGUGUCACUUCGCGGAGGUAAAGAAGAAAGGCAAAAUGAAGAAGCUCGGCCAAGCAAUGGAAGAAGAUCUAAUCGUGGGACUGCAAGGGAUGGAUCUGAACAUUGAGGCUGAAGCACUGGCUGGCACUGGCUUGGUGUUGGAUGAGCAGCUAAAUGAAUUCCAUUGCCUCUGGGAUGACAGCUUCCCGGAAGGCCCUGAGCGGCUCCAUGCCAUCAAGGAGCAACUGAUCCAGGAGGGCCUCCUAGAUCGCUGCGUGUCCUUUCAGGCCCGGUUUGCUGAAAAGGAAGAGCUGAUGUUGGUUCACAGCCUAGAAUAUAUUGAUCUGAUGGAAACAACCCAGUACAUGAAUGAGGGAGAACUCCGUGUCCUAGCAGACACCUACGACUCAGUUUAUCUGCAUCCGAACUCAUACUCCUGUGCCUGCCUGGCCUCAGGCUCUGUCCUCAGGCUGGUGGAUGCGGUCCUGGGGGCUGAGAUCCGGAAUGGCAUGGCCAUCAUUAGGCCUCCUGGACAUCAUGCCCAGCACAGUCUUAUGGAUGGCUAUUGCAUGUUCAACCACGUGGCUGUGGCAGCCCGCUAUGCUCAACAGAAACACCGCAUCCGGAGGGUCCUUAUCGUA